AAACGCUCGAUCCGAUCGGGUAGUAGGUAAGCGAUGGGGUGACGCAGGAAGGUAGUCCAGCCCAGGCGAUGGUUGUCCUGGGGUAAGCAUGUAGGGCGGGACGUAGGUAAAUCCGCGUUCCUUAAGCCUGAGAUGUGAUGCCGAGCCGAUUGUGGUGAAGUGGAUGAUCCUAUGCUGCCGAGAAAAGCCUCUAGUGAGUGUUGUGGCGGCCCGUACCCUAAACCGACUCAGGUGGUCAGGUAGAGAAUACCAAGGCGAUCGGGUGAACUGUGGUUAAGGGACUCGGCAAAUUGCCCCCGUAACUUCGGGAGAAGGGGGACCUCUGCUGGUGAUGGGCUUUACGUUCUGAGCUGGUGGGGGUCGCAGUGGCCAGGGGGAAGCGACUGUUUACUAAAAACACAGGUCCGUGCGAAGUCGUAAGACGAUGUAUACGGACUGACGCCUGCCCGGUGCCGGAACGUUAAGGGGACCGCUUAGCCAACGCAAGUUGGCGAAGGUGAGAACUUAAGCGCCGGUAAACGGCGGUGGUAACUAUAACCAUCCUAAGGUAGCGAAAUUCCUUGUCGGGUAAGUUCCGACCUGCACGAAUGGCGUAACGACUUCCCCGCUGUCUCAACCACAGACCCGGCGAAAUUGCACUACGAGUAAAGAUGCUCGUUUCGCGCAGCAGGACGGAAAGACCCCGGGACCUUCACUACAGCUUGACAUUGGCGUUUGGAGCGUCUUGUGUAGGAUAGGUGGGAGACUGGGAAGCUGUCACGCUAGUGAUGGUGGAGUCAUUGGUGAAAUACCACUCUGGUCGUUUUGAACGUCUAACUCUGGUCCGUGAUCCGGAUCGGGGACAGUGUCUGGUGGGUAGUUUAACUGGGGCGGUUGCCUCCUAAAGAGUAACGGAGGCGCCCAAAGGUUCCCUCAGCCUGGUUGGCAAUCAGGUGUUGAGUGUAAGUGCACAAGGGAGCUUGACUGUGAGACUGACAGGUCGAGCAGGAGCGAAAGCUGGGACUAGUGAUCCGGCAUCGGCGUGUGGGAGCGGUGUCGCUCAACGGCUAAAAGGUACCCCGGGGAUAACAGGCUGAUCUUCCCCAAGAGUCCAUAUCGACGGGAUGGUUUGGCACCUCGAUGUCGGCUCGUCGCAUCCUGGGGCUGGAGUAAGUCCCAAGGGUUGGGCUGUUCGCCCAUUAAAGCGGUACGCGAGCUGGGUUUAGAACGUCGCGAGACAGUUCGGUCCCUAUCCGCUGCGCGCGCAGGAGACUUGAAGGGGGCUGUCCCUAGUACGAGAGGACCGGGACGGACGAACCUCUGGUGUGCCAGUUGUACCGCCAGGUGCACGGCUGGUUGGCUACGUUCGGAAGGGAUAACCGCUGAAAGCAUCUAAGCGGGAAGCUCGCCUUGAUAUGAGGUCUCCCACCACGAGAGUGGGUAAGGCUCCCGGUAGACGACCGGGUUGAUAGGCCGGAGGUGGAAGCACGGUAACGUGUGGAGCUGACCGGUACUAAUAGGCCGAGGACUUGACCAC
rnacentral:rRNA from 1 species